UUCUGAAAAUGGGCCCAAUUUUUAACUUUCUACAUAGAAGCCUUAAAUAUAGUCCAAUAUUACACUUAUCUACUUCAAUAUUUUUUUGAAAAGGCUUAGUGGUCUUCAUAUUUUCAAAAAAAUUGGUGGCCGUUUACAUUGUAAUCCUCCUGCCAAUUAAAAAAGAAAUGAAAAAAAUACAAAAAAGAAAAAACCCUUUUAAAAGAUUUCAACAAUUUAUACAAGAAAAUAAACUACCCUUCUGCAAUCGGAAGCCGUAUUGUUCAUUGAAGGAAGAAAAAAAAUAUCCUUUUAAAAUAUCCUUCUGCAUCUCAACGUCGCACGAACUAUUUCGUCGUACCUUCUUCAUUCUUUUGUUCCUUCCUCUGCAAUCGAUGCACAGUCUACUAAGAGGUAAAUCUUGUUCAUUAUUGACCGAACACUCUACAAUCGACGCACCUCUGAGUAAAUCUUGAUCGCUUUGAAGUUCUAUUAGUUAGGGUUUGUAUGUACAUUGUUAGACUAACCACUAUUUCUUCUUCAUUUUCUGCUUGGGUCAAAAUGCAUAUGGGGUUAAUGAUCUAUAAACUAGAAAUUUUCGAAUAUGACUUAAACUGAGAACGUCGAUUUAUUCGUUGAAUUAUUCCUUCAUAUGGGUGAAAAUACAUUGCAUAAAGUAGUACAUUUGAUAUAUAAUGGGCAAAAAUACUCAGCGUACUGUAAAUGAGCGAAAAUACUUUGCAUAAAGUAAUACAUUUGAUAUAUAAUUUAUAUAGUACAUUUCGCAUGUGUCGUAGGUUGUAACUAGCCGUUUUCUUCAUAACGAGGUGUUCAAAGUGUGUUUAUGCUGCAGGUUGUAAAUUUUUUGCUUACUAAUGUGUUGGCCCUAAAUUGCAUUUUUUGAUAAACUAAUAUGAGAUGAAAAUACUGGCGUUUAUAUGUAUUUAAGCACCGGUUUAUACAUACUGAUUAUUAGGCAUGUUUUCAAAACACUUACUGUUUUAUGUGGAAAUGUAUAUAGUGAAGUUUGGUAUAUACAUAAAAGCGUUGCUUUAUAUAUCAUGUUUAUUAAGCAUGUUUUCAAAAUCUUUACUGCUUUCAUAAAUGUGGUUCUAAUGAAUAUAUGUAUGAGGUAUUCAAAGUGUGUUUAUGUUGUAGGUUGCAAAUUUUUUUUGCUUAUUGUUUGAGAUUUACAAAAGGUGUAUUUGACAUAGGUUGCAUUUCCUGAUAAAUUGAUGUGAUAUGUACUGUUUUUUUUAGUGUAAAUUUAUAUACUGAAGUAAGGCAUAUAUUGUCGAUGUGUAUCUGAUUUAUUUGUCAAUAGAUCCUACAUAAUUUCAGUGAUGUAAUUGUUUUAACAUAAUAAUUUCAUAAUACGAGAAAUAUGGAUUAAUAUUAUAUAAUUCAGUUAAUCUAAUAUCAAGUUUAAAAAGUUUGAUAUCGUCAAUUCGUUUGCGCCUUUUCCUCCUUUCCUAUUUUUUUCUAGAAUAAUGGUAUGUGUCAAAUUACCGGUGAAACGAGAGGAAAUAAGAUGAAGUGAUUGCCUUCUAGGGUCUACCAGUGGGCUAGGAUACAAAACAAAAAGUGAAAAGAAUGAUGUCAACCUAACCACAUGUGUUAUAAUCAUGUGUACAUUUCAUAAUUCUAAAUUUACUCAUCUUAUUCAAUUACUUAUAUAGGAUGAAGACCAAACUCCAGCAGUUAAAUAAGUGAAAAUAGAGUGAAAUGUUGGAGUUCCUACAUCAUUAGAAUUUUAUGAUCAUUUAUUAAGAGACAUGGCAACUAAAUUCCUUCCCUUAAGAGUAGUACAACCAGGAGAAGAAAUUGUAGACAAUGAGGAAGAGGAUACCUUUGGAACACAAAUAGUUCCAUAUGGAUACACUUUUCAGAAUGUAGAUGCACAACCCAAAUACUCGUGAGAUUGAGGAACAAAAUUCGGACAAUGAAGAUUUCAUUGUUCAGGAAAUCGUUGAUGAGGUAUGGAUUUAUAACAUAUACAAUAUAUAUUGGAUCUAAUAUCAUGUUUUGUGAAGAUUUCGUAUACUCGAUUGUUCAGACAAGUGUUAUACUCAGUGCGCUGCACGAUCAAGUGACCUUCAUGCUUCAUCGCAUAGUCAAAGGCACUCGACCCAUCCUACACGAUCAUGGCUACUCGACCAACGUUACUCGACGAUCAUAAGGAAAAACUACAUGAUUAGGGAGCGAGGCUUCGCCCGGGCGGUUCAAGACCCGGUUCGCUUGUUUGAACCGGUUAACUCGAUGGUUUAUGUAAUAGAUAAAUCUAAAUUUUUGGUUUUUGAGGCAAAUCGUCCUAGUUCAUUAAUUUUGAUGAAUGUACAUGAGAUGUAUGUUUAAAUUAUGUCAUAUAGUAUACCAUAUAGUUUUAAA